ACACUUUACAAUGCGGGAAACCGCGAUAAGGGAACCCCGAGUGCCAGCAUCAAAUGUUGGCUGUCCAGAUGAUUAAAAAUCAUUUGUUAGCAAGGGCCGGGCAAGACCGGUGCCAGCCGCCGCGGUAACACCGGCGGCCCGAGUGGUAGCCGUUUUUAUUGGGUCUAAAGGGUCCGUAGCCGGCCUGAUAAGUCCUUUGGGAAAUCUGGCAGCUUAACUGUCAGGCUUCUAAGGGAUACUGUCAGGCUUGGGACCGGAAGAGGUAAGGGGUACUCCAGGGGUAGGAGUGAAAUCUUGUAAUCCCUGGGGGACCAUCUGUGGCGAAGGCGCCUUACCAGAACGGGUCCGACGGUGAGGGACGAAAGCUAGGGGAGCAAACCGGAUUAGAUACCCGGGUAGUCCUAGCUGUAAACGAUGCUCGCUAGGUGUCAAACACGGUGCGACCGUGUUUGGUGCCGCAGGGAAGCCGUUAAGCGAGCCACCUGGAAGUACGUCGCAAGGC
rnacentral:rRNA from 1 species